AGUGAACGCUGGCGGUAGGCCUAACACAUGCAAGUCGAACGGCAGCACAGAGGAGCUUGCUCCUUGGGUGGCGAGUGGCGGACGGGUGAGGAAUACAUCGGAAUCUACUCUGUCGUGGGGGAUAACGUAGGGAAACUUACGCUAAUACCGCAUACGACCUACGGGUGAAAGCAGGGGAUCUUCGGACCUUGCGCGAUUGAAUGAGCCGAUGUCGGAUUAGCUAGUUGGCGGGGUAAAGGCCCACCAAGGCGACGAUCCGUAGCUGGUCUGAGAGGAUGAGCAGCCCCACUGGAGCGGAGACACGGUCCAGACUCCUACGGGAGGCAGCAGUGGGGAAUAUUGGACAAUGGGCGCAAGCCUGAUCCAGCCAUACCGCGUGGGUGAAGAAGGCCUUCGGGUUGUAAAGCCCUUUUGUUGGGAAAGAAAUCCAUCUGGUUAAUACCCGGGUGGGAUGACGGUACCCAAAGAAUAAGCACCGGCUAACUUCGUGCCAGCCGCCGCAGUAA
rnacentral:rRNA from 1 species